UACGUAGGCAGCAAGCGUUGUUCGGAAUUACUGGGCGUAAAGAGUGUGUAGGCGGUGCUCUAAGUUCGGUGUGAAAUCUCCCGGCUUAACUGGGAGGGUGCGCCGGAAACUGGAGUGCUUGAGCGCGGGAGAGGAAAGCGGAAUUCCUGGUGUAGCGGUGAAAUGCGUAGAUAUCAGGAGGAACACCUGUGGCGUAGACGGCUUUCUGGACCGUAGCUGACGCUGAGACACGAAAGCGUGGGUAGCAAACAGG
rnacentral:rRNA from 1 species